AGUGGCGGACGGGUGAGUAACGCGUAAGAAUCUAACUUCAGGACGGGGACAACAGUGGGAAACGACUGCUAAUACCCGAUGUGCCGCGAGGUGAAACCUAAUUGGCCUGAAGAAGAGCUUGCGUCUGAUUAGCUAGUUGGUGGGGUAAGAGCCUACCAAGGCGACGAUCAGUAGCUGGUCUGAGAGGAUGAGCAGCCACACUGGGACUGAGACACGGCCCAGACUCCUACGGGAGGCAGCAGUGGGGAAUUUUCCGUAAUGGGCGAAAGCCUGACGGAGCAACGCCGCGUGAGGGAGGAAGGUCUUUGGAUUGUAAACCUCUUUUCUCAAGGAAGAAGUUCUGACGGUACUUGAGGAAUCAGCCUCGGCUAACUCCGUGCCAGCAGCCGCGGUAAUACGGGGGAGGCAAGCGUUAUCCGGAAUUAUUGGGCGUAAAGCGUCCGCAGGUGGUCAGCCAAGUCUGCCGUCAAAUCAGGUUGCUUAACGACCUAAAGGCGGUGGAAACUGGCAGACUAGAGAGCAGUAGGGGUAGCAGGAAUUCCCAGUGUAGCGGUGAAAUGCGUAGAGAUUGGGAAGAACAUCGGUGGCGAAAGCGUGCUACUGGGCUGUAUCUGAUACUCAGGGACGAAAGCUAGGGGAGCGAAAGGGAUUAGAUACCCCUGUAGUCCUAGCCGUAAACGAUGGAUACUAGGCGUGGCUU
rnacentral:rRNA from 1 species